AUGAAUAGCAUUUGAUCAUUAAGAAAGUUAAAAAAGGAGAAUGAGAUUUAUUACUAAUUUGUUUAUUUAUCAUCUCCAUCUUGGCCUAAUUCAGCUCUGUCAUCUUCUUUAAUAGUCUCCAAUUUUGGAGAAUGAGAAUUUUCUUUUGGGAAAACAAAAAGUGAAGGAGCAACUUCAAUCCAAGGCUUCAAAUUCACCAUCUUCUUUGCCAUUAUCAAUAUGAAUAAUACAACGUAGAUUGUUUAGCUUUCUCCUUAAAAAAAUAUAAGACAAAGAGAACAAAUGUUGGAAGGUUUAUAAUUGGGUUGAUGAUAAAUAUACCAAAAUGUUUUGGAGGGGUUAUCUUUAUUUAUAUAGGGAGAGCCGGAGAGGAAGAUGAAAAAUAUCAAGAACCAAAGAGUACAUGUACGGUGCUAUGUGAUUGUACGGUGUGUAGAAUGCCCCAUAAAUAUAGACAAGAACAUUGGAAGCACCAAAGAAGGAAUGUGCAAAAUUAUGAAUUCCUCCUAGUAUUUGUUUGGUGAAAUGGUCCAAUCCAUUUGUUAUGAUUUUGAAAGAGGUUGACUGAAAUUUCGUCUGUAUUAUUAUUUAUUAAAUUAUUUUUUUCACAUGCUAAGUCAAUAAUAAAUAAGAGUAUUACUUUAAAAAAAAAAAAAAAAAGUAAACUACAAAGUUAUUUCAUUGCGCCACUGAGUGAAAAAUUAAAUUUAUGUAUAGGGCGGCGCAUAGGACACGAUUCGUGUCACUAGUUCUUUUUAAAGUUGCAAAGUGAUCUCAAGAUAUCCUUUUCAGAUAUUACAUAAACGAAUUAUAGUAAUAUUUUUCUAUGUUUAUCUUGAUUUGUUGACUAUAUUAAAAAUAAAAUUUUCAAAAUAUUUAUUUAAUUUAAAAAAUUAAUAAAUAAUUUAUUCUAUUUAUUUUAAAUUUUUUAUUAAAUAAUCUUUAUCACUCAGUGCAUUUUUAAAACAUUAUAUUUAUUAUAUUUAAAAAGUUAUAUAAUAAAUUAUAUUUAUUAUUUAUUAUUUCUUAUUAUGUGUGUCAAGUCACUAAUGGAUAAGUAUUGUUGAACGUAGAACGUAUUUUUUCGUCCAUCUUUACUUGUCCAUUAUAUAAAAUUAGAUGUCCAACAAUAUAUGUUCAACUUGAAAAAUUUACGAAUAAUUUAUUCAUUUCUAUUCAUUUUAUCCUUAACAUUAAAUAUUAUUCCUUAUUCAAUGUAUUUUUGUAAAAUAUAUAAUUUAUUAUAUGGAAAAGCUAAUACAAUAAAAUUAUUUUAUUAUUUAUUACUUUUUAACCGACAAUAAAUUAAUAAGGGACAACUAUUAAAAAACGGAGAAAGUAAUAUUAGUGUAAUCUUAAACGAUAUCUUGAAAAUAGUGUAUAUAUAAAUGUUAUUCCUUUUGAGAAGAUCAUACAGAGUUUAGUUUUAUUACCCGCGCCAUAUGACUCGAGCAAAACAUUUCACAUGCACCGUGUUCUUUGCCAUUGUUAGUACGUCCCAUUAUCAAUUUGUACAGACGUAGACACUUUCUCCUUAGUACAAUAUAACCUAAAUCUUUGGAGGAAGGUUUUCUUUAUAUAAAUAUAGGAAGAGGGAGUUCAAAAUAUUAAGAAGUAGAGAGCACGAGUACGGUGUUAUGUGAUUGAGCGGAGCCAGAAUUUCUAUUAAGGGAUUUAAAUAAAAUAACUAAGCACGUUUACAGGAUCUCAAAAAUAAGCGGGUCGAAUUUGAUUUGUGCGAGCUAGACAAAGUUCAAUUCUACCUCAACAUGAAUGACAAAACGGGGAAGUUAAACUUCUUUAUUUUGAUCGUACGUUUAGACAUACAAUCUUUAAACUUUUUAAAAUAAUUUACAUAUUUAGAAACUAUAUAAAAAGUACAAUAAAUUAUCUGUAUUAUACUUUACGUUUAAGUUAUUUAUACAUUAAUAUGAUAAAACUAAUACUAAUUUUUUCUUAAUUUUUAGGAAAAAAGAUGUAAACUAUUUUAAAUCAGUCAAAAUAGAUAAAUAACAAAUAAAUGUAUGUAGUAUAAUUUUGUGAAAAAAUAGAAAAAGAAGUGCAUCAUCAAAUUACUCCCUCCAUUUCAUAAUAAAUGAAUUGUUGAUUUUUGACACACAUAUUAAGAAAAAAAGUAUUAAAAAUAUAAAUUUAACACAACUUUCUAUUUUUACCCAAAAAAAAAAAUUGACCUUGUAAUACUUUUUCAAAAGUUAAUUGAUUGUCAAAUUAUAAGGGCAAAUUUGAAAAAAGAUUUAAUGAUUCACUUAUUUUGAAACACUAAUAAAUACCUCAACAAUUCAUUUAUUUUGAAAUAGAGGGAAUAAUAACUAUGAAAGUGAGAGAAGAAAAAACAAAAGGAAAUAGAAAAGUGAGAGACAAGAGAAAACAAAAGGGGACAAAAAGUAAGAGAGUAAGAAAGUAACUAUGGAUUGAAUUCAAAAGCUAAUAUAAAGCAUUGAAAAAAACAACUCGAAUCCGCACGGAUUUAAAAAAUUUGCACCUCUUUAUUACUGAAUCAAGUUUUAAACUUGUAUCAAGGGAAUUCAAUAUUUAAUAUAAAUAUCAUAAAUUAAAAUUUGAUUCUAUAUAUAUAAUGUAAUUUUUUGACAAAUGAAAUUCAAAUAAACCCCUCAAUUACAUGUAGAUCCGUCCAUGAUUCCACGUGUGUUGAAUACCAUAAAUAUGGAGGCAAAGAACAAUAGAAGCAGCAAGGAAGGCAGUGGAAGGUGUAGACUAGUAUGAAAUUAGCUUGGUGGAAUGCUCCCAUUAGUUUGAAUAUUGAAAACUAAAUGUCCUUUUAUAUAUUCUUGACACGUUUGCACUUGAAAUAUCUUUUCUUACGAUAUUUGAGUGCCUUGUGGAUAAAUAAUAAUCGUAUUAUUUUUUUAUUUUUUUAUUCCGUGUCUGCUUUGAAGUUUCGAAUAAUUGUAUUAUAGCCUUUAGAAAUGUAAAGUCUAAGUUACCAUAUAUAGAUAGUAUCUUUAAUUUAUUGUUAUGAUCUUAUACAUAUAGACGUUUCUCUAAACAAAAAUAACAAUAUAUUCAGUACAUAUAUUUCUAUAAAGUGAAGCCGAAUCUAUGAAAGGUAAGAUACAUGCAGUUUAUGUUACCACCUCAAAUGAAGUAGAAAUGCUAUUUCAAAGAGACUCCAAUUUGAAAUAAAUAAACUUCUCUAAACUGGUGGAUUUGUAUGUAAUUAAUUAUAAUUAGAUAUUUUACUUAGAGGUCUAACUUAUUGAACAUUUGAUGUUGGCGAAAAAGAUUGUCUAUUACGUACAUAACGAAUGCGUGCUUCACGCUAAUGUAUGUUUUUAUAUCUGAUCAAAUAUCUGAUCCAUUCUUCUUAUAAAAUCGUGUGAAAAAAAUAUUUUUUAAUAAUUAUGGUGUUUGAGUUAGCUUUUGUUUAAUUCAAUUCACUUCAUUGACUAUUACAUCACACCCUUGAAUGCUUUGUCGUGUGAGGAAAAUUUUACUCUAACAAAUACCUUUUUUUUUCAAUUUAUUUCUGCAUUAUCGUUAUCGUAUUAUGAUGGACAAGUCAAAACUAUCAAUUAUAAUAUGAACAAAUUUCACAUUCGUAGUCUUGAUUUAUCACAUAAUCUUUACUCGAGUGAUUAAAGUCCUACAUAUCUUCGAUACAUGAUCAAGCCCACAAAUACAUAUGUUAUUUUUGAUAAUAUUAUUUUAUUUUAGAAUUUAAGUUUAUGUAUUUUCGUUUUACAUCAUCAUGUGACUUUUACUUGUUAUAGUAGGUUAUUUUAUUUUUGUAUUUUUACCUGAGAAAUAAAUAACCUACUAUAACAGAUAAAAAUUAUCGGAUAUUAUAAAAAAAGAUACAUGAUGGUGUAUCAAAUUUAAAUUCUUAUUUUAUAUUUUACCCUAUACUUCUCUGACAUGUUUGCUUCCUAAGGACAGUUUGGUCAUUUUGCAUGUCUUUGGGUAGAUGAUUUUGCUGAAAUUUUGGAUUCCUCGUUUGCGCUCUUCCUUGACACGCUUGUUUGCCGAGGAUAAUUUCGUCAUUUACCAUAAUUAUUUUAAAUUAUAAAUUUAAAAUUCAUUUAGUCAACAUCACCAAAUUAUUCUUCAUUGACACGCCAGCUUACGGUGAAGAUAAUUUCAUCUAUUAAUUACCUAGACUACUAUAUAUUGUAAAUUUAAAAUUAGUUACUCGACUCCCACUUAAAAUAGGGUGGACAUAUUUUGAUUUAAAUCAAAAAAUUAAAUCAAAAUUUAUUGUUGAUUUUGAUUUUUCAGUUUUUCGAAUCGCAUUCGAUUUAUAAUUUUAAAAUUUUAAUUUUUCUAUUUAAUUUUUUAUUUUAAAAAAAUCGAUUAAAUCAAAAUUUUAUAAAUAAAUAAAUAAUAUAUAUUUUUUAUUAUAUAUAUUAUAUAUAAUAUAAUAUUAUAUUAUAUUUAUAUAUAAUAUUUAGUAAUUCACAAUUAAUAUUUAACAGUAGAUUCGCAUAUGCCGCAAGCUGUUUAUGAAUUACUUUAGUGACUCAAAUAUUUUAUGAACUAUUUUGGUGAUUUUGAAUUAUUAUGACGUUAUGUAUUAUGUUAAACUUAUAGUUAUUUUAUUUCGUUUCAUCCAUGUUGAGUUAUUUAUAGUUAUUUAUAUUUAGGAAUGAAAAAUAGGUUUGAAAAAAAUAUUUUUUCUAAAAAAAAUCAUCAAUUUUAAAAUACUAAGUUAUGAAAAAAAAAAGCUAACUACUUUAAUAUUUCAGAUCAAAAUAAAAAUUUGAAAUAACCAAACCGAACUUAUUUCAAUUUGAUUACGGAUGUCAUUUUUAUCAAUUUGAUUACGGAUGUCAUUUUUAUCAAUUUAAUUACGAAUGUUAUUUUAAUCAAUCCAAAAAUUAAUAAGCCAAAUCAAUAUUAAACAAUUGGAUAAAACCGACCGAACGCUCACCCCUACUUAAAAGGGGAGUAAAAUGAAAUAAAAGUUAUAUAAAUUUUAAUUUUUUUAAAGCUAAUUAAUGUCAUCUCAAUUUUUUGUAAAAUUAAUAAAAAUCUCUGAUUUAAUUCAGAGGAAUACAUAUAUUGAGCCGGAAAAGGAUAUAGAGUAAUACUUCUCAAAUACAUAAGUGAACAAUAAUAAUAUCUAGUGUAAUUUUAUAAGUAUAGUGUAAUCUUAUCACUAUUGUGAGAAGAUCAUAGAGAGGUUAUUUUUAAAACCCUUAUAAUUCAAAUAAAACAUUUCAAAUCAGAUAUGAAAAAAAGUAAAUAAGAGAAAUAUAAUUAAAUUAAAAGAGCGUAUAGAAAAGAGAAAUCAUUAUUGAGAUUUAUAUAAUGUAGUAAUACAGUCUAUUCCCAUAAAUGGAAACAGAAGAAUGUACAAAUAACAGCUAGUUAAUGUAAGACAAUUCAUCCAUGGCCAUAAGAAUUAAUUCGGCCUGAGAUUGUGAAAUGUACCCUAAAUACCCUCCUCCUUUUAAACCAAAAAUAAUGAACAGCAUUUGAUCAUUAAGAAAGUUAAAAAAGGAGAAUGAGAUUUAUUACUAAUUUGUUUAUUUAUCAUCUCCCUCUUGGCAUAAUUCAGCUCUAUCAUCUUCUUUAAUAGUCUCCAAUUUUGGAGGAUGAGAAUUUUUUUGUGGGAAAACAAAAAGUGAAGGAGCAACUUCAAUCCAAGGCUUCAAAUUCACCAUCUUCUUUGUCAUUGUCAAUAUGAAUAAUACAACGUAGAUUGUUAGCUUUCUCCUUAAAAAAAUAUAAGACAAAGAGAACAAAUGUUGGAAAGUAUACAAUUAGGUUGAUGAUGAAUACACUAAAAUGUGUUGGAGGGGCUUUGUUUAUAUAGGGAGAGAGAUGAAAAAUAUCAAGAAUCAAGGAGUACGUGUACGGUGUUAUGGGAUACCACGUGUGUUCAAUGCCCCAUAAAUAUAGACAAGAACAUUGGAAGGACCAAAGAAGGCACGUGCUAAAUUAUGAAUUAGUAUUUGGUUUGGUGAAGUGAAAUGUGGUCCGAUCGGUUUGUUAUGAUUUUGAAAGAGGGUGACUGAAAACUUCCUCUUGUGUAUUAUUUAUUGUUUUUAUAUAUUAAAAUUAAUAAUAAAUAAAUAUUAUUUAAGUAAAAGUAAACUAAAAAGUUAUUUAAAUUUAAUUGCGCCACUUAGUGAAAAAUUAAAUUUAUAUAUACAUAUUGGGCGGCGCAUAGGACACGAUUCGUGUCACCAGUUCUUUUUAAAGUUAUCAAGUAAUCUCUUUUCGUUUUUUGGUAACUAGUUAUCAAGUAAUCUCAAGAUAUCCCUUUCAGAAAUUACAUAAGUGAACAAUAAUAUUUUUCUACGUUUAUUUUGUUGUGUUGACUAUAUUAAAAAUAAAAAUUUAAAAAUAUUUAUUUAAAUUAAAAAAUUAGUAAAUAAUUUAUUUUAUUCUAUUCAGUUUAACUUUGUUAUUAAAUACUAACUUUUAUCACUCAACACAUUUUUAAAAUAUUGUAUUUAUUAUAUUUAAAAAGUGAUAUAAUAAAAUUAUAUCUAUUAUUUAUUAUUUUUUAAUAUAUGUGUUAAGUCAAUAGUGGAUAAGUAUUGUUGAAUGAAAAAGUACUAUUAUAUUUAUUAUUAUAUUUAUUAAAUUUAUUAUAUUAAAAAAUUAAUAUAAUAAAAUUAUUUUAUUAUUUAUUAUUUUUUAAUCAACAUACAAAUUAAUAGUGGACAACUAUUAAUAAACUGAGGAAGUAAUUUAGUGUAAUCUUAUAAGCUAUAUCUUGAAAGUAGUGUAUAUAUAAAUGUUAUUCCUAUUUAUAAGAUCAUAGAGAGUUUAGUUUUGUUAAGCCCUUGUAACUCAAUUAAAACAUUUCACAUUUGAUCCGAAAAAAUACAUAAGAGAAAUGUAGCAAAAUUGAAAGAGCUUACAGAAAAGAGAAAUCGUUUUUGGGAUUUAUAUAACCUAAAACAUUCUAUUCCAUAAAUGGAAACAGAAGAAUUUCCAAAUAACAACUAGCUAGCAAUACUUUGAUCCAUGGCCAUAAGUUUAAUUCUGCCUGAGAUUGAAAUUUACACUACGUGCCAUUCUCCCAUUAAACAAAAAAUAAAAAUAAAAAAAAUGGAGAGAUUUUCAUUAAGAAGGUUAAAUAGAUGAAACUUCUAUUAUCUAUCAUCAUGGCCUAGUUCAGCUCUAUCAUCUUCUUUAAUGGUUUCCAAUUUUGGAGAAUUGAGAUUUUUUUUUUUGGUGGGAGAAUAAAAAGUGAAGGGGUACCAACUUCUUUGCCAUUAUUAGUACGUACCAUACCAAUUUGUAGAAACGUAAACUCUUUCUCCUUAGAACAAUAUAUAUACCGAAAUGUUUGGAGGAAGGUUUUUUAUAUAUACAUGGGAAGAGGAAGUUGAAAUUGUUAAGAAGCAGAGAGUACGUGUACGUUGUUAUGCGAUUCCAUGUGUGUCAACUACCAUAAAUAUAGAGGUAAAGAACAAUAGAAGUAGGAAGGAACUUUCGUGUCCGUUACGGAGCCAGAAUUUUCACUAAAAGAGUUUAGAAAUAUACAUACGAAUUAAGUGAAGAAAAUUCAAUAUCUACUAUACAUAAAAAAAAAAAAAAAAUUAUACAUAAAUAUUAUAAUUUUUUAUCAAAAGAAUUUAAAUAAAAUCCCCAAAUCAAGAAUAGCUCUAGCUUGCAAGGAAGGCAGUGGAAGGUGUGGACAAUUAUGAAAUUAGUUUGGGGGAAUGCUCCCAUCAGUUUGUUUUGCCUGAAUAUUGAAAACUAAACUUCCUCUUAUAUUUUCUUGACACGUUUGCACUACAAAUAUCUUUUCUUACGUUUGAUGAUCUUGUGGAGGAGAUUAAUAAUUGUAUUAUUGCCUUAGAAAUGUAACAUCUAAUUAAGUUAUCAUAUAUAGAUAGUAUCUUUAAUUUAUGGUUUUGUUCCUAUACUUAUCGGCGUUUCUCUAAACUUGAUUGUAUAUAUUUUAUUAUAAUUAGACAUUUUAAUUAUAAGAGGUCUGACUUAUUGAAAAUUUGAUGUUGGUGAAAAAAAUUGUCUAUUAAAUACAUAAUGAAUGUGUGCUUCACGCCAAUGUAUGUUUUUAUACCCGACCAUAUGUUUGGUCCAUUCUUCUUACAAAAUCGUGUGAAAAAAGUCUUUUUUGUAGUUUUUUUUUUUUUUUAAAUUAUAGUGUUUGGGUUCGUUUUUAUUAGUGAAAUUACAAGAAAAUUACAACUAAAAAGUUACAAGUGAAGAAAAAUAAAAUAAUCUUCUUUUUCUUCUUUGGCUAGGCGCGGAUAUCUCGCUCUCUAUAAGGAGAUUCAAGCCCACUGCAAUAAAAUUAUUUCACCGGUCCAGCAGUAAUCUUCUUGAUUUGUCCCCUUCAGGAUACAACAGCCUUCUCACAGAGAACAAUUCAACAACUUUGGACAAAAGUUGAGUUCAAAACAACACAAAAAGAGCACCUCCCUUCAACUAAUAAAACUCUCUUUUUUACUAACUUUUGUGAAUUCUCUAUAAUCUUGUGUGUGUCCCAAAAUCAUGCAAGACCACCUCUAUUUAUAGUAGAGAAAACCUUCCAUGCAAUGAAUAGAAAUAAGUAAAUAGGAUAGUAAAAAUAGAAUAUCAAUGACUUUUAGGUUACAAUAAUUAUAAGACAUAAUGGAUAAAUAAAAAGUAGGAAGUUACAAGAACCUUAAGCCAACUAAAGACCAAAUAAGUUACAAGAGUGUUUGUCACAUGUUUUCCCACUAACAAAAGAAGCUAAUGCAAUGGUUUACCAAAACUUGUAACUCAUUUUCACCUUAAAUAUUUGAAACAAUUGCAGCCAAGUUAAUGAGGCACAUAAUGCCACCAAUGAAUGAGAGAAAAACUGUUGCACCUAUGAGUUAUAGGAACGGAUAGGAGUAUUUUUUAGUGCUGGACAUGAAAUUGUAACUUAAGUUACUAUGUUCAUAAGCAGUGACCCAACAUGCAGCAAAAUGACAAUUUAAUAAGAGCAAUAUUAAUAAAAAUAUCAAAAUGCUCUAAAGAACCUUCAGUUUUUGCCUAGAUUUUUUCUUUUUCUUUGCUCAAAUUUGAACAUGAGAUCAGGUUCUCAAUCCACUUCAUUGAUCACUAGUCACACACAUUUGAAUGUUUUGUCGCGUGAGGAAAAUCUCACUCUAACAAGUUCUUAUUUUUAUAUGUUUCUGCAUUAUCAUUACCGUAUUUAGGAAGGACAAGUCAAAACUAUCAACCACAAUACAUACAAAUUUCACAUUUAAGUCUUGAUUUAUCACAUAAUCUUACUCGAGUAAUUAAGUAUUACAUCUCUUAGAUACAUGAUCAAGCCCUUAAAUACAUAAAUAUGUUGUUUUUGUUGAUAUUAUUUUAUUUUAUUCUAUAUAAGAAGUGGAAGUCGAGUUGUUAAAGCAAAUUCAACUUUGUUGACAUGUCUGCCUCUCCUAGGGAGAGUUUGGCCAUUUGCAUGCCGUUUUUCACAUCAAUUUCACGUGUUAUGCAUUUUUAAAGCAAAGUGCUCUUCCUUGACAGGCUUGUUUGACGAGGAUAAUUUCGUCAUUUACCAUGAUUAACUCAGAUUAGAAAUUUAAAACUCAUUUAACCAACAUCAUCGAACUAUAUAUUCUUCAUUGACAUGCCUGCUUAGGGUGAAGUUAAUUACUGUUUAUUUCAUUUUUUUUUUAAGAAAAUAGUAAAAAUUUCUGAUUUAAUUCGGACGAAUACAUAUAUUGAGCCGAUGCAUAGCACACGAUUCUUCUUGUUAUGGUUUUUACCCUAAUUUUCUUACUAUAUUUAAGUUUUAUUUUUUCUUAGAAGGAAAAUAAAAGUUACCAUAAUUACUUUUACUUUUCCUAAAAAAAAAAAUAUAAUUGUUUUUUUCAUAUUUGACUAACCUCUUUCUUGGAGGAAAGGUUUUGAACAUCUAUAAAUAGAAGACCUCCUUCUCAUACCAUAACACAAUAAAUACCAUAACACAAUGAUAUCCACUAUGUAGUCUUUAAAGAGUUUUUGUUUAGGGGGAGAUUUCUCCCAAUAAGUUUUAGAAUUUUUAAUUUUAUUUUUAAUAUGUAUGCCGUUUGGUCAAACCAUAUUUAAUAAUAUAUUUUUAGUUUAAUUUUUCAUGUGUCGUCUGAUUUAUCAUAUUAUGGUUUGCAAACUAAAAGCUUUCGCAUGACGCCCUCUCGAUUUUGAAUCCAACAAGUGGUAUCAAAGUCAAUGGUUCGAUUGAAGAUAGUUUAAGAUGAAAAUUGCAACAAAUUUGAUGAUAAUGAAGAUAUAUGUUUAAAAACUACAUGUGGAAACGAUUGUCAAUCAUAUUUUUAACAAUUCUGUUGUAACAUAUUUGAAAAUAAAACUUACUUUUAACCCUACAAAUGACUCAUAUAUUUUUAACCCCAAAAGCUUUAUUUUUAAACAUGUCAAACAACAGUGAUGAAGACUAUAUGAAGAACAAAGAUCAAAUAUGUGAAGAACAUGGAUCAAGUGAAAAAAAUCAAAGGAAAAAUUUGUUAGUAUUUUUAUCUUAAUUUUCUUACUAUAUUUAAAUUUUAUUUUAUCUUAGAAGGAAAAUAAAAAUUACCAUAAUUACUUCUACUUUUUCUGAAAAAAAAAUAUAAUUUUUUUUCAUAUUUGACUAACCUCUUUCUUAGAGGAAAGAUUUUAAACAUUUAUAAAUAAAAAAGCUCCUUCUCAUAUUAUAAUGCAAUAGCAUCUACAAUGUAGUCUUUAAAGAAUUUUUGUUUAGAAGAGAUUUCUCCCAAUAAAUUUUAGAAUUUUCAAUAAUAUAUUUUUAAUUUAAUUUUUCAUGUAUCGUCUGAUUCAUCGUCUUAUAAUUUGCAAACUAAAAAUUUUCCCAAUAAAUUUUAGAAUUUUCAAUAAUAUAUUUUUAGUUUAAUUUUUCAUGUAUCGUCUGAUUCAUCGUCUUAUAAUUUGCAAACUAAAAAUUUUCGCAUAACGCCCUGUCGAUUUCGAACCCAACACUUCUCGCUAGUCUUUCAAGUUAUGGAGUAUUUUCAAAUAUAUCCUUUUCUAAAAUAUAUAAGUGAACAAUAAUAAUAUUUAGUGUAGUUUUAUAAGUACAAUUUUGAAAGUGUAAUCUCAUCCCUUGAGAAGAUCAUGUAGAGGUUACUUGUUAUACUAAGAAAAACAUUUCAAAUCAGUACAUAAGAGAAAUGUAGUAAAAUUAAAAGAGCGUAUAAAAAAAGAGAAAUCUUUUCUGAGACUAAUUAUAUAAUGUAAUACACUCUAUUCCAUAAAUGGAAACAGAAGAAUGUACAAAUAACAACUAGUAGUUAAUAAGUAAUACAAUUCAUCCAUAGCCAUGAGAAUUAUAUUAAUUCGGCCUGAGAUUGUGAAAUUUAAUCUAAAUACCCUCCUCCUCUUUACCAAGAAAAUGAAUAGCAUUUUAUCAUUAAGAAAGUUAAAAAAAGAGAAGGAUAUUUAUUUAUUGAAUUAUUUAUCAUCUCCAUCUUGGCCUAAUUCAGCUCUAACAUCUUCUUUAAUAGUCUCCAAUUUUGGGGAAUGAGAAUUUUUUUGUGGGAAAACAAAAAGUGAAGGAGCAACUUCAAUCUUCACCAUCUUCUUUGCCAUUGUCAAUAUGAAUAAUACAACGUAGAUUGUGAGCUUUCUCCUUAAAAUAUAAGACAAAGGGAACAGAUGUUGGAAGGUGUAUAUAUAAUUGGGUUGAUGAUGAAUAUACCAAAAUGUUUUGGAGGGGUUUUGCUUAUAUAGGGAAAGGAAGAUGAAAAAUAUCAAGAAUCAGAGAGUACGUGUACGGUGUUAUGCAAUACCACGUGUGCUCAAUGCCCCAUAAAUAUAGACAAGAACAAUGGAAACACCAAAGAAGGCAUGUGGAAAAUUAUGAAUUAUUUGUUUGGUGGAAUGGCCACAUCAGUUUGUUUGGGAGAAGGUGACUGAAUAUUGAAAACUUCCUCUUAUGUAUUCUUGACACGUAUGCACUUCUAGAUUUUAUUUCAUUUUUACGUGUGGGUGCUGUUGCGCGCCUCCUUAAUUGUUAGGUCAUAGUAAUAUAAUUAUUGCGUUUGAGAUACUCUUUUAAGUCAAUAAUAUGUAAGAUAAUAAUUACUAAUUUUUAUACAUGGUCUACAUUAGACACUUUGCUUAGAGGUUAGAGGUCUGAUCUAUUGAACAUUGGGAAAUAUUUAAGAAUAAA
rnacentral:lncRNA from 1 species